rfam:Bacterium TASB270 DNA, scaffold: TASB270_scaffold_8.
CCUAGGGCUGACACCCUGGGCUAUCAUAUCCCGUCUCUUCGGGACU